UUGGGCACGCUGGCUGGAUGCUAGCCGUUGCCCAGCACACGCUCGUCUCGUCUGGAAGAGAGAAAAAGACGACAAUUGCUGAAGGGAUUGAAAUCCGGUGUUGGAAGGCUGAAUUCUUCAGAGGAGGAAAGAGACGUCGCUUGCAAUCACUAUCGGAACAGGGCUGCUUAGUUAGUUGCACUGAGGCCUGAGGGGGGGCCGGGUCGCAAGGACCAGAUGGCGCCGAGGCCGAGCUGCCCAUGCCAGGACUACCAACGCAGACGGCUCAUACGAAUGCGUGCAGACGCAGCGAGAGCACGACAGCGCGUCUGGGCCGGCCGGGGGCAAAACGGCAGCGUCACGAGGAGGGGGGGUGGGCGCGCGAGGGACCAUGCAUUUAUGCAGUGCCUCUGCUUAAUAACAGCCGACCUCCGUCGUCCGUGCAUGGCUCGCGCAGUCGCGCUCUGGUUUCGUCUCGGCCCGCCGUCCCGUCCCUUUGCCUUCCUUCGCACACGCGAAAACUAUAGCUGCACUGCACGCUCUCCUCACACUCUCCCUCCUCUUCUGCUCGUCUGCGCGUCCCAAAACUUUGCUGCUGUGAGAGGUUGAAGCUGCCAGCAUGAUCUGGCUGCUCAGACGCCGGCGGGCGUCUCGAGUGCUCGCUCGAUCGUCGGUGACGCUUGGAUUCACCAGAUCAUGUUGCAGCUUCACUCUCUCGCAGCCAGCAAACGCAAGGCGUCGUGUAGGGAGGCGACUGACAGAUGAGUUCCUUCGCCACCGAUCAAUCAAGUUGUAAUCUAUAUAUGUAUGAGCCACGGUUGAGGCUGUCGGUGAACCUGAUCGAGUUUGGAUCACGGUGUUCUGCGCCUGUGACCUUUCAGACUUCCAAAUGGGGUGCAGGGCCAAGAACAGCGGCGGUGGCCGCGCUAGGUAACGGCACGUUCAUUUCAAUCUCAAUCCAUGUGGAUUGAACAAGAUUGAGUGGAUUUAAAUUCCAAUCAAUUUAAAAUUGUUUUUAUUUUUUUUCCAAUCGCAUCCAAUGAAAAUAAUAGAAUAAGGCCUAACUGCCCUCGAAAUCCACACUGCAGUUGACAACUGUGAUCGAGUUUUGGAGUUGCCUGUUGCCCUGUUCCCCCAGAAACUGACUGCUCUAAAGAUGAGUUUUCUGAA